AUUCUCAGUUCGGAUUGUAGGCUGCAACUCGCCUACAUGAAGCCGGAAUCGCUAGUAAUCGUGGAUCAGCAUGCCACGGUGAAUACGUUCCCGGGCCUUGUACACACCGCCCGUCACACCACGAGAGUUUGUAACACCCGAAGUCGGUAGGGUAACCUUUAUGGAGCCAGCCGCCGAAGGUGGGACAGAUAAUUGGGGUGAAGUCGUAACAAGGUAGCCGUAUCGGAAGGUGCGGCUGGAUCACCUCCUUUCUAAGGAA
rnacentral:rRNA from 1 species